UACGGAGGGGGCGAGCGUUUUCCGAAGUUACUGGGCGUAAAGGGCGCGUAGGCGGGAUGCCAAGUCCGCUGUGAAAGCCUGAGGCUCAACCUCAGCGGGUCGGUGGAGACUGGUCUUCUUGAAGGUGUCAGGGGGAGAUGGAAUUAUCGGUGUAGCGGUGAAAUGCGUAGAUAUCGAUAGGAACACCAGUGGCGAAGGCGGUCUCCUGGGGCAUUCUUGACGCUGAGGCGCGAAAGCUGGGGGAGCGAACGGG
rnacentral:rRNA from 1 species